UUACUUGACUAGAGCUAAAGUAGUGACACAACUAGUUUCCAUUCAUGGGAUGAUGGAUAAAUUCUACUAGUAUAAAAAAAGACGACAUGUAAUACAACAUUUACACCAUUCAACUUUAUGUUUUUCAUCCAUUAAUCCCCUCAGCUCCCAUAACCUUUAAAUAUAACAAAAACAAAAGUGCAAUUCAACCAUGAAAACGCUACAAUACAUAAUCUUACUUUGUUGGGUUGUUCUGUUAUGCUACCCGAGUCAUGCUAUCAAGUGUAUCGACGGCGAGAGAAAAGCUUUGCUUCGAUUCAAGCAAGGAAUUGAAUCUGAUAACUGUGGGCUUCUAUCUUCAUGGGGAGAUAUAGAAGAUUGCUGCCAAUGGCGUGGUAUUCGCUGCAGCAAUCGUACUGGUCAUGUCAUCAUGCUUCAUCUUCGAGGUUGGAUUAAUGUCAUUGAGUUCACCUCGGGUUGUUUGGAAGGUAAGUUGGACCCUUCCCUGUUUGAGCUAACACAUUUGAAAUAUUUGGACCUUAGUAAAAAUGGUUUCAUCCAGACUAUACCCAGUUCCAUAGAUUCCCUCACUGAGUUAGAGUACCUCAAUUUAUCUAGUGCUGGCUUUUUUGGUGAAAUUCCUCCCCAACUCGGAAACCUUUCCAAAUUAGCAUCUCUUGAUCUCACUCCCCAGUCCUAUGAAGUCACUUUUAAAAGCUUGCAGUGGAUGUCCCAUCUUACAUUGUUGAGAGAGAUCCACCUUAGUGAUAGUGAUCUUAGUGAAGCCACCAACUGGUUCCAAACCAUCAACAAUCUUCCUUCCCUAAAGAUCCUUUACUUGGAUUAUUGUCAGCUUCCUGCUACAUUUCCGUCAUCAUCACUUUCAUACAUCAAUUCCUCCACCUCUCUUCGUGUUAUUAGCCUUGGUGGUAAUAAUUUCAAUACCACUUCAAUAUUCAAGUGGUUGUUCAAUAUGAGUAGAAAUGGUAACCAACUUGAAUAUCUUGACCUUUCUGAUAACUUACUUUCAGGGCCUGUUCCAAGAUCAUUUGGGAAGUACAUGUACUCCCUUUCAUAUCUUUACUUUGAUGAUAAUUAUUUUGAAGGUUCCAUUCCUAUCACAUUUUCAAACUUGAGGGCCUUGAGAGAACUCUCAUUCUAUAACAAUAAACUUAAUGGUCCCCUUUUAAAUGUCUUACAAGCUCUAUCAUGUGGGUGUGCGAACAAGCCACUUUUAGAGCAUCUGGAUUUGAGUAUGAAUCAGUUCUGGGGCUCUAUUCCGAACACGAUUAAUAGUUUUACAUCAAUCAAAGAAUUAUAUCUUUAUGAUAAUCAUCUGAAUGGAACAAUCAGUCAAAGUAUUGGGCAACUUUCUAUGCUUGAGAUUUUGGAUGUUUUUAAUAAUUCCUUAAAAGCUACUCUCAACCACAACCACUUCUUAAAUCUCUCACGGUUGCAAAUAUUAGACUUGUCAGCCAACCCGGCACUAGUGCUUGACUCAAUCAAAAUUUUGAAUCCCUACUUUCAUUUGAACGUUAUACGUUUGAGAUCUUGCAAGUUGGGCCCUUCCUUCCCAAACUGGCUUCUAACUCAGACUAAUUUCUCCUAUCUUGAUAUAUCCAAUGCUCAAAUUUCUGGUGAAAUUCCUCCUUCCUUUUGGACAAGAUCGUUGUCGCCCAAUCUAAGGUAUAUAAACAUGUCUCACAAUAUGAUUCAGGGGGUGCUCCCUAAUUUGUCAGCAUCCUUUGACAACCUCAAAGUUAUUGACUUCAGCUCAAACUACUUUGAAGGAUCGAUCCCAUCUUUUGUUGGAGACAAAAAUGUUGAGUCAGUACGCCUGAAUGAUAACACGUUUUCGGAUGCCACUCAACUAUUUUGUCCAAGAAUAGCUAAUUCGAAGCUAGUAGAGCUUGAUGUAUCAAACAAUUUAUUGUCUGGAAGACUUCCAAAUUGUUUGAUGAAAAGGGAUCAACUCCAAUAUUUGCACUUGGAAAACAAUAAAUUCACUGGAAAUAUACCAACAUCCAUUGGUGACCUACUACAACUCCAAUAUUUGCACCUGCAAAAUAAUAGUUUUUCAGGAAAGCUCCCUAGUUCAAUGUUGAACUGUAUGUCCUUAUAUUUUUUAGAUCUUGGGUAUAAUUCUUUAACUGGCUAUAUACCACCAAGCAUUGGAAAUGCUUUUGAAUAUCUCGCAUAUCUUAACUUACGUGGAAACAAGUUUUUUGGAAAAUUGCCUUUAAGCCUUUGUCAAUUAUCCAAUCUUCACAUGUUAGAUAUUGCCAUGAACCACAUAUCAGGCCCUAUUCCAAAUUGCAUAUAUAAUUUUACAGCGAUGAUGAGCGGGUCAAAAGACCUACAGUUUGAUAAUACUGGUGUUGACGUUGGUGAAGAUUACAUCGUUGGCUUGUUUAAGGAAGCUGCAAUGAUUGAGUGGAAAAGAGAAGAGCAAAGAUUUGCAGGAACUUCAUUAAGACUAGUGAAUUAUAUUGAUAUGUCAAAUAAUGAGCUAGAAGGUGAAAUCCCAGAUGGAAUCUCAAAUCUUACUAAGUUACUAUCCCUCGAUUUAUCAAGAAACAAGUUGACCGGAAUCAUUCCAUCAAAUAUUGGGCAGCUUGCAUCAUUAGAAUUUCUGGAUUUAUCAAACAAUCACCUGUCUGGAGUUAUACCUCGAAGCCUUGCUGAUGUUAGCUCUCUGGCAAUCUUGGAUUUGUCAAACAACAACUUGUCAGGGAGGAUUCCACUCGGAACUCAGCUACGAGGUUUUGAUCCUUCAUCGUACAUGGGAAACCCAUUACUUUGCGGGGCUCCACGUCAAGGUUGUGCAGGAGACGAACCACCACCCGCCAUGACAAUAAAUAAUGGAACAAAUGUCACUCAUCAGGAGGAGCAUGGAAUUGACACUUUUUAUUUAGGGUUGUACAUCAGUGUGGUGCUCGGAUUUAUUGUGGGAUUCUGGGGAGUUUGUGGGACUUUAGUGGUGAAGAGAACAUGGAGACAUGCGUUUUUCAGCUUCUUUGGUGACAUCAAAGACAAGAUUUAUGUCAUGGUGGUGUUGAAUGUAGCCAGAAUUUGGAGGAAAGAUUGAAGGUAAUUAUUCAUAAAUUUAUUAUUGGUUCAAUAUUACAGGUACAGUUUAAAUCAACUAAGCAAAGAUUAUCUAAUUUCUGCUUUCUUAUUUUUUUUUUCGUGUAGGUGGGUGCCUGGGUGGUGACUUCUUUUUCUGGUGCAUUCUCCAACUUGCAUUUUCAACCUAUUUAUAAGGUUGAUCCGUCUGUCGAGCUUCUGAGCAGUGGCUUGAACAAGAAAGGAUUGUUGUUUAUGUUUUUUACUAAGUCAAUAAUUAAUAGUUGUGUGUAUGUUUAUAAUUAAUAGUUGUGUGUAUGCUUAUAAUUUAUAAAUUUUUCUGCUAGUUACAAUCCACUUGACUUAUUACGCAUUUUUUUAAAUAAUGUGUAUGUUUAGUUAGUGCCUUUAGAUCUUAAACAAAAAAUAAUUCCGAAAAAAAGUGGUUUCAAACUAAAAGUGACAGAAGUUUUUUUUUUUUUUUUUUUUGUAAAAAAAAAUAAAAUUAAGCGUUUACUUAGCUAAAUAAUCAAUUUAAGGUUCUCUGUUUGUUGGCUGAAUUGUAUAGAAUAAGCUAGUGGACAGAAAUUGCUAUGAAAAAACUAACAAGAAUAUCUUUGGCCAUUACUGUGAAGUUUACUAACCAUAAUUUGACAUAAUCAUAUUCUUAAGUUAGUUGAAAUUUAUUCAUACAUAAGAAAUACCCAAUAUCUACGCCCAAUAAUAUUAAUGGUCUUUCACUGGCCCAAUACCCAAUAAUAUCUGUGUCAAAAAAAAAAAAAAAAAAAA